rnacentral:rRNA from 1 species
GUAGGGUGCGAGCGUUAAUCGGAAUUACUGGGCGUAAAGCGUGCGCAGGCGGUUUUGUAAGCCAGAUGUGAAAUCCCCGGGCUUAACCUGGGAAUGGCAUUUGGGACUGCAAGGCUGGAGUGUGGCAGAGGAGACUGGAAUUCCCGGUGUAGCAGUGAAAUGCGUAGAUAUCGGGAAGAAUACCGAUGGCGAAGGCAGGUCUCUGGGCUGACACUGACGCUCAUGCACGAAAGCGUGGGGAGCAAACAGGAUUAGAUACCCUGGUAGUCCACGCCCUAAACGAUGUCGACUGGUUGUUGGGGGUUUGACACUCUCAGUAACGAAGCUAACGCGUGAAGUCGACCGCCUGGGGAGUACGGCCGCAAGGUUA